rnacentral:sRNA from 1 species
UUGACAGACGCAAAUGAUAACAAUUAUCAUUGCAUCACCAAAUGACGAAAGGUCGUUUCAUUUGGUCUCUCUCAUCAGGAGCUAUAAGCUCUUUUUCAGCCCCGCCAUUGUGCGGGGCUUUUUUUG